UGGGGAAUUUUGGGCAAUGGGCGAAAGCCUGACCCAGCAACGCCGCGUGAAGGAUGAAGUAUUUCGGUAUGUAAACUUCGAAAGAAUAGGAAGAAUAAAUGACGGUACUAUUUAUAAGGUCCGGCUAACUACGUGCCAGCAGCCGCGGUAAUACGUAGGGACCAAGCGUUGUUCGGAUUUACUGGGCGUAAAGGGCGCGUAGGCGGCAAUUCAAGUCAUCUGUGAAAUCUCCGGGCUUAACUCGGAACGGUCAGAUGAUACUGCUUUGCUAGAGUGCAGAAGGGGCAAUCGGAAUUCUUGGUGUAGCGGUGAAAUGCGUAGAUAUCAAGAGGAACACCUGAGGUGAAGACGGGUUGCUGGGCUGACACUGACGCUGAGGCACGAAAGUGUGGGGAUCAAACAGGAUUAGAUACCCUUGUAGUCCCUGAGCGGGCUGGCAAGGCGCAU
rnacentral:rRNA from 1 species